AAAACUUGUCAAUGCUUUCACUCACUCUCCUUCCCAAGAAUGGUUGCACGUUUCCUCCUAUCACUCAACUUUCUCCUUCCCAAGAUUGGCUGCACAUUCCCCCGUCACUUCCACCUGUGGAUUUGUAUUUUCAAGAUUGUUUUAUCCCGCUCAAUACACGUUUUCGGCUUCCAAUUGAUUCAAUUGACUGAUUUCAAAAUUUGAAAUCGUCCAUUUCUCUCCGUUCAUGAUGCUGACUACUGUUGGAUUCAAAAGAAAUCCCUAAUAUGGCCUUCCCCCACACCAAGAGCUCGGGAUGCCUUCUCUUUCACCUACAAUGACAGAGGGAAACAUAGCACGGUGGUUAAAGAAAGAAGGGGAUCAAGUUGCACCUGGUGAAGCACUCUGUGAAGUUGAAACAGAUAAAGCCACUGUGGAAAUGGAAUGUAUGGAGGAAGGAUAUCUAGCAAAGAUAAUACAUGGAGAUGGAGCAAAAGAAAUUAAAGUUGGUGAGGUAUGAUCUUGAUAUGAUUCUAGAACCACAUUUCUUAUAUUAUAUGUUAGUCUGUUGUUUAAGGAUCAGUCAAUUAUACUUGUAAUGAGAGCAUAUUUGGGCCAAAACCCCUGUUCUCAUUUCUUCUCUUCCGUUAAAUUCUAUUGCAUACUGCAGAUUGAUGUACCAAGUAAUUACCUUAAAAGUAUGCCGCAUAAUAAACCAUCUGCAUGAUGGCCUGCUAAAU